rnacentral:rRNA from 1 species
CUAGGGGAGAUCUGACGGUACAUAAGGUAUAACGCACCGGCUAACUCCGUGCCAGCAGCCGGGUUAAUACGGAGGGUGCAAGCGUUACUCGGAAUCACUGGGCGUAAAGGGCGUGUAGGGAACAUCUCAAGUCUCUUGUGGAAUCUAAUGGCUUAGCCAUUAUACUGCUUGGCAAACUGAUAGUCUAGAGUGAGGGAGAGGCAGGUUCUAAUUGGUGGUGGCCCGGUAAAAUCUGUAGAUAUAACCAAGAAUACCCAUUGCGAAGCCAACCUGCUGGGCACUCAACUGACGCUAAGGCGCGAAAAGUGUGGGGAGCAACCAGGAUUAGAAUACCGGUACACUCCCACGCCCUAGAGCAUGACACAAGUGGUUGGGGUCCCAGCAACCUCAGUAAUGCGGUAAAGGCUUUAAGUGUACGGCUGGGGGAGUCCGUUUGCUCGAUUAAAAUUCAAGGCAAAAGACGGGGCCCGGCCCAGGCGGAUGGCCCAGGCGAUGUAUUUGGUAGAAGCGAGAGGAACCUUUCUAGGCCUUGAUAUCCAAAGAAUCUUCCUUGGCUAAGAGGGUGCAAGCUUGUUUACCUAAAAGAAAGGGGCUGCAGCCUUUUGAU